GUUAUUUACAGACCAAUCAAAGGAGAAACAAUUUACACAAGCAAAACUUUCAGCAUCAUAAACUCUAACAGCGGCAUCGUUGUUUGCGGUCAUAAUCCUCAGUGAGCCAUUGUGGUUAUGGUAUAUAUUCACUGCAUUGGUAAUGGCAUUUUCAUCUGUUGUUACUUUGGUACAGAACGCAACUCCACGUUGAUUCAAAUAUCUGCAAAUAAGUUCCCCUUGAAAACCACCAGCAACGAGCAAGUUUUCUUUAACAGCCAUAGUGCUUAUUUGCACUCUUGAGAGUGACUGAGACAACAACCCUGGGCGUUUCAUGGUAGGAACAAUUGGAGUAGCCACAUUGAGUACUUCUUUGCCUCUACGCAAUAAUGAUGACCAGUGCAUUACUGAGUAAUUUUGCAUAAGGUAUACAUCAUGCUUUGAUGUUGCCCAUAUAAGAUUCCUCAACUGAAAAUGCACAAUUGUGGAUUUGACAAGCCUUGUGUUGAACUGGAAGUCAUAAAAGGUCUUUCCCUUCUCUACUUGCAAGCACUCCUUGUCUAGCCCUUCGCGAGAGCGAGAGAGGUUCUCGUAGUUCUUAUACUGCUUUAAUCUAGCCUCACGAUACUUAUCCCUAGUGAAAUUAAGCCUUUCCCAGGGAAUUCCCUGUAUAUCUUUUCCAUUUCUAGCCUCCACAGCAGAGGUAUCUGUGUUUGAUUUACUCGACUCGAAAUCGUCUUCAAUGUCGGAGUCCACGGAAUCCAAAUCUGCAACUCUGUGAGGUUCGGGUUCAAGGAAAGGGUUAUCUUCGAAAUCAACGAAGUCGUAAUAAUCAUCGCCAAGGUAUUCGAGAUGAUCGCUGUGGAAGUAAUCCAUCACCCGUUAAAUUUGGUGGAUGAAGAGGUCUGAAAAUAUAAAAACAGAUGGAAAAAAGGAGAGCAAUUUCCCGAUGGUUUACCCAGAAAAAAACAGAAAAAAAAUUAUCUACGAUCAGAAAUUUUGGUUGGCUUCGGAAGGAAAGGGUUGAUUACGGUUACCGGUAGCGGGGAAGGAGAGAAUCAAUGUCAAAUUAGUAAAAGAGUGACAAAUCUGAGAAGCGUUUUGAAC
rnacentral:misc_RNA from 1 species